UUCGUUUCGGGGCGCAAGAUUUGGCUUUGGGGAGGAGGAAGGUGAGUGGGGAGUGAUCGCAGCAUGAUACGGAUGCAGGGGUGCACGCGGUUCGGCUGGGGAACGACGCGGAGAUAUCGCAGAGCCUGCAGCUGGAGAAGGGGGCGACGUACGCGGUGACGUUUAGCGCGGCGCGGACGUGCGCGCAGCUGGAGACGCUGAACGUGUCGGUGUGGCCGGCGUCGCAGGCGGUGGACCUGCAGACGCUGUACAGCGUCGAG
rnacentral:lncRNA from 1 species